CGAAGGGUGCAGGCGUUACUCGGAAUUACUGGGCGUAAAGCGUGCGUAGGUGGUUGUUUAAGUCUGUUGUGAAAGCCCUGGGCUCAACCUGGGAAUUGCAGUGGAUACUGGACGACUAGAGUGUGGUAGAGGGUAGUGGAAUUCCUGGUGUAGCAGUGAAAUGCGUAGAGAUCAGGAGGAACAUCCAUGGCGAAGGCAGCUACCUGGACCAACACUGACACUGAGGCACGAAAGCGUGGGAGCAAACAGGAUU
rnacentral:rRNA from 1 species